rnacentral:rRNA from 1 species
CCUACGGGUGGCAGCAGUGAGGAAUAUUGGUCAAUGGGCGGGCGCCUGAACCAGCCACGUCGCGUGAGGGAAGAAGGUACUGAGUAUUGUACACCUCUUUUGCCAGGGGACAAAGGCGGCCACGGGUGGCCGUAAGAGGGUACCUGGAGAAAAAGCAUCGGCUAACUCCGUGCCAGCAGCCGCGGUAAUACGGAGGAUGCGAGAGUUAUCCGGUUUGAUGGGGUUAAAAGGGUGCGCAGGCGGCGGGACAAGUCAGCGGUAAAAUGGCGGGGCUCAACCCCGGCCGGCCGUUGAAACUGGCGUGCUUGAGUUGGAGAGAAGUAUGCGGAAUUCGUGGUGUAGCGGUGAAAUGCAUAGAUAUCACGAAGAACCCCGAUUGCGAAGGCAGCAUACCGGCUCCACACUGACGCUGAGGCACGAAAGCGUGGGUAUCGAACAGGAUUAGAUACCCGAGUAGUC